rnacentral:lncRNA from 1 species
GAAUAACCUAUGGAAUGCUCUAUUAUAUAACUUCAGAGAUUGACAAAGUAUUUAGCUAAGCAACUGAGAGGAGUUCUCAGUAGCUACAACUGCCUAUCCCAUUUCUCUCCCUGUGACCUGGCUCAUAUUUUAUCACUGAUGUUGGAGAGGUGUCUGCUUGAAUAGAACUGUCACCCCACAGAAGUGUGUAUGUCAGCUGUGGCCGUGAUGGCUCCAAUCUCACUCUGUCACAGAUCGUCUUUAUAAGCCAGGCAUGUCAGAGCCAUAAACUGAUGAGUUUGAAAAAACAAUCAACAAAAGCAUUCUAUGUGCAAGUCCCAUUUACCUGGUUUCUGGAGGGAAGAAUCCCUAAAGAUAAUGAAAUGUUGUGG